rnacentral:rRNA from 1 species
AGAGAGAGACAUGCGCGCAUAUCAAUAAGCGGAGGAAAAGAAACUAACAAGGAUUCCCUUAGUAACGGCGAGUGAAGCGGGAAGAGCUCAAAUUUGAAAUCUUCAAGGUUUUACCUUGACGAAUUGUAGUUUAAAGAAGUGUUUUCUGCUGAAGUUUUGGUAAAAGUUCUUUGGAAUAGGACAUCAUAGAGGGUGAGAAUCCCGUAUUUGACCAUUAUUUUCAGCUUUGUGAUACACUUUCAAAGAGUCGGAUUGUUUGGGAAUGCAGUCCAAAAUGGGUGGUAAAUUUCAUCUAAAGCUAAAUAUUGGCGAGAGACCGAUAGCGAACAAGUACCGUGAGGGAAAGAUGAAAAGAACUUUGAAAAGAGAGUUAAACAGUACGUGAAAUUGUCAAAAGGGAAGCGUUUGACACCAGUGUUGUUUUCUCGAAAAUCAAUUAAAAAUGGCUCGAUUUUGUAUUGCUGAGACCUUAAAAGCUCACUGUACAUUUUUCGUGUCUUUUUUAAUGCACUUUUCGUUUAACAAGUCAACAUCAGUUUCUUUUGUUGUAAAAGGGUCAUUGGAAGGUGGCUUUCUUUUCGGAGAAAGUGUUUAUAGCCUUUGGCCUCUGCAAUCGGAAGAGACUGAGGUCUGCAGCGUAGACUCUUCGGGGUUAGAUACAUUUGUGCUAAGUUAUAGCUUUGUAUAGACAACUUGUUGACUAUGAUUAGUCAUUGUAGCUUACUCGCUGAUGCUAUUUUACCUACGCUUAGGAUGUUGAAGAUGUAGCACAUCAU